AACAGAAGCCUAAAUACCCUAAAUGCAUCAGAUCCCAUCUGAUCUUGGAAGCUAAGCAGGAUCAGUUCUGGAUAGUACCUGGAUGUGAGACUGCAAACAAAUAUUGAGUAGUGUAGUUG
rnacentral:rRNA from 11 species